rnacentral:misc_RNA from 1 species
CUCCCUACUACAAGUACACCUGUAGCUGAUCCCCACUAUCACAAAUAAUUACAUAGCCUUCCCUGAAAUGAGUGGUUUUGGAGGAGACAGUGAUCUAAUUUCAGGUGCAGAACUAGGAAAUAGAGUGUUCAGCUUGUGCAUGAGUAUGUCAGCUCUCGAAGGAAUCUCAUUCAGAAGAAACUGCUGCACAAUAGGCUUCUUGAACCAUUCCAUGACAGAAUCCCCUGGGGCUCUUAGAACCACCUUGCUAACCUCAAAUGGAGAUUCUACUGAGCUCAACGUCUGAGCAACCACAAUCUUCAGAGUGGGUCCUGUAACCAAUUUGAUGCGUCUUGGAAUGACACCAUAGUACAACAUUCGCUUUCUGAACCUGUGGAGAGUGUGCACAACUGCUAUAAGAGCAGCUCCCACUGACAAGUUCCUAACAUCUAGAGACCAAGCAAUAUGCUGGUCGAACACUAUAGCCUUUGGAAAUAGCUUGUUCUCAUAAGCAACUUUCCAAACACAUCGAGCACGAUUUAUUUGCCCCAUAAGAACAAGGUAAUUGAGCAAAACAUUUACAAAGUACCUCGCAGCACCCUCCUCCAACUCAUAAUCAAGGCCUUGAAAAAACUCCCUCACAAAGGAUAAAACUGGUUGUUUUCUCUGUUCUGGACCAGUGAAUAGCCCACACAUAAAAGUGUGUGCUUUAUGUCUUGUAGCACUAAGGAUUGACAUCAAAUGCCUCUCAUUCUGCUCUUCUUGGCAUCGGACAAGAUGAGCAAGAAUUGAUGUAUAAAGUAUAAGAUCCACUUUAGCAGCAGAGUUCACGUAGGUCUCAAGAAGAGGCUUUGCUGAUUCAUAUAAACCAUUCUUCAUGCAAGACUCAAACAACUGCCUGAUUAUAAAAUUAUUCGUUCUUAUCCCUGAUGAACCCAUGAAAC